rnacentral:lncRNA from 1 species
UCAGUAGGAACCCAAGUUGAAAUGCCUCUGGGGGCUGGGGCUUAUAAACAUGCUCAGGGAUGGGAGAAGCAGGUGAGGCUUGAGCCUGAUGAGCAGGGAGGCCAGAAACUGAAUCCGGAAGCUACAGUGAGCUGUUCUACCUGCAAAAGGAAAACGCAAAAGAACCGCAGAUUCACCCCCCAAGACGAGAAGAGGAAGAUGGCUGUGGGUGGACAUUGUCUCAUGAAGACGAAACUGGGGCCUCAAGCCUGCUUUCUAGGUUCCCACGAGGUACCCAAAUAAGAACCUUCCUUGCCAGCAGGGGCCUU